UGACAACUCGAGCCUCUGGUCC
rnacentral:siRNA from 1 species